rnacentral:rRNA from 1 species
GAGUUUGAUCAUGGCUCAGAACGAACGCUGGCGGCAGGCUUAACACAUGCAAGUCGAACGCCCCGCAAGGGGAGUGGCAGACGGGUGAGUAACGCGUGGGAACGUGCCCUUCGCUUCAGGAUAGUCCCGGGAAACUGGGUUUAAUACUGGAUACGCCGUAUUGGGAAAGAUUUAUCGGCGAAGGAUCGGCCCGCGUUAGAUUAGGUAGUUGGCGGUGUAAUGGACCACCAAGCCUACGAUCUAUAGCUGGUCUGAGAGGAUGAUCAGCCACACUGGGACUGAGACACGGCCCAGACUCCUACGGGAGGCAGCAGUGGGGAAUCUUGGACAAUGGGCGCAAGCCUGAUCCAGCCAUGCCGCGUGAGUGAAGAAGGCCUUAGGGUUGUAAAACUCUUUCGCCGGAGAAGAUAAUGACGGUAUCCGGAGAAGAAGCCCCGGCUAACUUCGUGCCAGCCGCCGCUGUAAG